rnacentral:rRNA from 1 species
ACGCUCGACACCUACGGGACAGCAGUGGGGAAUAUUGCACAAUGGGGGAAACCCUGAUGCAGCGACGCCGCGUGAAGGAAGAAGUAUUUCGGUAUGUAAACUUCUAUCAGCAGGGAAGAAAAUGACGGUACCUGAGUAAGAAGCACCGGCUAAAUACGUGCUAGCAGCCGCGGUAAUCUGAGCGGGCUGGCAAGGC